rnacentral:rRNA from 1 species
CCUACGAGGGGCAGCAGUGAGGAAUAUUGGUCAAUGGACGCAAGUCUGACCCAGCCAUGCCGCGUGCAGGAUGACGGCUCUAUGAGUUGUACACUGCUUUUGUACGAGGGUAAACCGCGAUACGUGUAUCGGGUUGAAAGUAUCGUACGAAUAAGGAUCGGCUACAUCCGUGCCAGCAGCCGCGGUAAUACGGAGGAGCCGAGCUUUAUCCGGAUUUAAUGGGUUUAAGGGGUGCGUAGGCGGUUUGAUAAGUUAGAGGUGAAAGUUCGGGGCUCAACCCCGAAACUGCCUCUAAUACUGUUGGACUAGAGAAUAGUUGCGGUAGGCGGAAUGUAUGGUGUAGCGGUGAAAUGCUUAGAGAUCAUACAGAACACCGAUUGCGAAGGCAGCUUACCAAACUAUAUCUGACGUUGAGGCACGAAAGCGUGGGUAGCAAACAGGAUUAGAUACCCUUGUAGUC